GACGAACGCUGGCGGCGUGCCUAAUACAUGCAAGUUGAGCGCUGAAGGUUGGUACUUGUACCAACUGGAUGAGCAGCGAACGGGUGAGUAACGCGUGGGGAAUCUGCCUUUGAGCGGGGGACAACAUUUGGAAACGAAUGCUAAUACCGCAUAAAAACUUUAAACACAAGUUUUAAGUUUGAAAGAUGCAAUUGCAUCACUCAAAGAUGAUCCCGCGUUGUAUUAGCUAGUUGGUGAGGUAAAGGCUUACCAAGGCGAUGAUACAUAGCCGACCUGAGAGGGUGACGGCCCACAUGGGACCGAGAACAGGCCCAAGCUUCUACGGGAGGGAGCCGUUGGGGAACCUCCGGCAUGGGCGAAAGGCUUGCCGGGGAACGGCGGGUUGGUGAAGGAAGUUCUCGGGUCGUAAAACUCUGUUGAUAGAGGAGAACGUAGGUGAGAGUGGAAAGCUCAUCAAGUGACGGUAACUAACCAGAAAGGGACGGCUAACUACGUG
rnacentral:rRNA from 1 species